rnacentral:rRNA from 1 species
UCGGAUUGUAGGCUGCAACUCGCCUACAUGAAGCUGGAAUUGCUAGUAAUCAUAGGUCAGCAUACUAUGGUGAAUACGUUCCCGGGCCUUGUACACACCGCCCGUCACACCAUGAGAGUUGAGAAUACCCGAAGUCCAUGUCAAAGUGGCCGAAGGUAGGCUUGAUGAUUGGGGUGAAGUCGUAACAAGGUACC